rnacentral:rRNA from 1 species
GACUCUCGGCAACGGAUAUCUCGGCUCUCGCAUCGAUGAAGAACGUAGCGAAAUGCGAUACUUGGUGUGAAUUGCAGAAUCCCGUGAACCAUCGAGUCUUUGAACGCAAGUUGCGCCCCAAGCCGUUUGGCCGAGGGCACGUCUGCCUGGGUGUCACGC